UNUGACUUGAGUGCAGAAGGGGAGAGUGGAAUUCCAUGUGUAGCGGUGAAAUGCGUAGAUAUAUGGAGGAACACCAGUGGCGAAAGCGGCUCUCUGGUCUGUCACUGACGCUGAGGCUCGAAAGCGUGGGUAGCGAACAGGAUUAGAUACCCUGGUAGUCCACGCCGUAAACGAUGAGUGCUAGGUGUUAGGCCCUUUCCGGGGCUUAGUGCCGGAGCUAACGCAAUAAGCACUCCGCCUGGGGAGUACGACCGCAAGGUUGAAACUCAAAGGAAUUGACGGGGGCCCGCACAAGCGGUGGAGCAUGUGGUUUAAUUCGAAGCAACGCGAAGAACCUUACCAGGUCUUGACAUCCCGAUGCUAUUCUUAGAGAUAGGAAGUUACUUCGGUACAUCGGAGACAGGUGGUGCAUGGUUGUCGUCAGCUCGUGUCGUGAGAUGUUGGGUUAAGUCCCGCAACGAGCGCAACCCUUAUUGUUAGUUGCCAUCAUUAAGUUGGGCACUCUAGCGAGACUGCCGGUAAUAAACCGGAGGAAGGUGGGGAUGACGUCAAAUCAUCAUGCCCCAUAUGACCUGGGCUACACACGUGCUACAAUGGUCGGUACAACGAGUUGCGAGCCGGUGACGGCAAGCUAAUCUCUGAAAGCCGAUCUCAGUUCGGAUUGGAGGCUGCAACUCGCCUCCAUGAAGUCGGAAUCGCUAGUAAUCGCGGAUCAGCACGCCGCGGUGAAUACGUUCCCGGGCCUUGUACACACCGCCCGUCACACCACGAGAGUUUGUAACACCCGAAGUCGGUGAGGUAACC
rnacentral:rRNA from 1 species